AGUGAACGCUGGCGGCAGGCCUAACACAUGCAAGUCGAACGGCAGCACAAGAGAGCUUGCUCUCUGGGUGGCGAGUGGCGGACGGGUGAGGAAUGCAUCGGAAUCUGCCCAUUUGUGGGGGAUAACCUCGGGAAACCGGGACUAAUACCGCAUACGACCUACGGGUGAAAGCAGGGGAUCUUCGGACCUUGCGCAGAUGGAUGAGCCGAUGCCGGAUUAGCUAGUUGGAGGGGUAAAGGCCCACCAAGGCGACGAUCCGUAGCUGGUCUGAGAGGAUGAUCAGCCACACUGGGACUGAGACACGGCCCAGACUCCUACGGGAGGCAGCAGUGGGGAAUAUUGGACAAUGGGCGCAAGCCUGAUCCAGCCAUGCCGCGUGUGUGAAGAAGGCCUUCGGGUUGUAAAGCACUUUUGUUGGGAAAGAAAAGCAGCCGGUUAAUACCCGGUCGUCAUGACGGUACCCAAAGAAUAAGCACCGGCUAACUUCGUG
rnacentral:rRNA from 1 species